UACGAAGGUGGCAAGCGUUGUUCGGAUUUACUGGGCGUACAGGGAGCGUAGGCGGUUGGAUAAGCCCUCCGUGAAAUCUCCAGGCUUAACCUGGAAAGUGCAGAGGGGACUGUUCAGCUAGAGGAUGGGAGAGGAGCGCGGAAUUCCCGGUGUAGCGGUGAAAUGCGUAGAGAUCGGGAGGAAGGCCGGUGGCGAAGGCGGCGCUCUGGAAUAUUUCUGACGCUGAGGCUCGAAAGCGUGGGGAGCAAACAGG
rnacentral:rRNA from 1 species